rnacentral:lncRNA from 1 species
GAAAAUGUGAUACAACCAUAAUUACUAGAUUUUUAUAAGACUACUUCAUAUUUCCUUUAUUCCUGGUUGUUGAGAUUAUUUCUGUAAAUAGGGAUAUGAUUGUGUGAUAAUUAGGGAUAUGAUUGUGGGAUAUGAUUGGGAUAUGAUUAGGGAAUUAAUUUAUUUUCUUACCUAGUGUGUACCCUUGUAAGUAGUAUAUAUACCCCAAUUAGCUUGAGGGGAAUAAUCAAGUAUUUUCUCUCAAACCUAUGCUCUCCUUUUCUUCUUUUCAUCAAAAUUUCAUGGUAUCAUAGCCAAGAAAUUUGGUUCACCUUUGAGUGUGACUUUCUAGAAAUCAGUUAGUCUCACCACCCAAUCUAUUCUCCACGCCGGCCUCCGAUCUACUUUCCUGCGAAGCGCCGCCUCCAGACGUGCUGCCACGCGCCACCCUGCACAGACUUGUUUCCGGCCACGCGACGGCGCGUGAACCACUUUCUGGCGACCAUUUCACGCAGGCGAUUCUUCUCCCAGCUUCGCCCGGCUCCGGCGACCAAAGCCCAGUAGGUGCGGUCGUCAGAUCAGCUCGCCUUCAUACGUCCUCCAUCCACGCGCGGACGCGUGCACCACUUUCCGGCGACCGUUUCAUACCGGCGAUUCCUCUCCCAGCUUCGCCCGGCGCCGGCGACCAAAGCCCAAUAGGUGCAGUCGUCAGAUUUACUAUUCACAGGCGUUCUUUUUGGCAGAUUCGGCUCCUCCUUGCAGAUUCGGGUCCCUACCCAGUCCUUUGUUUCAGAUCUCUCUGGACAUGUCUGAGAAUCAAAACACCCUCAAUACAGAUUCAGAUUCAGUCUUCAUGGCCCAAUCAAAUAUUGCCCAUUCUAGUAAUUCUUUUACUUAUCUAACCAAGUCUUUACCCAUUGGUUCAUGGAUCCUCGACUCCGGUGCUUCUGAUCAUAUCUCUAGUAAUCCCUCUCUUUUCUCUACUCUUGUUUCACCUUCCACACCAUCUAAAGUCACAUUAGCUAAUGGUUCACAAACUCAAGUUAAAGGGAUCGGUAACGUAUAUCUCCUUCCUUCUAUCCCCUUAACUAAUGUUUUAUUUACCCCAGACUGCCCAUACAACCUAAUCUCUGUUAGCAAAUUGACUAAAGAUCUUCAUUGUUCAGUCAUCUUUACUACUGAAUCUGUGGUUGUGCAGGACCGGAGUACUGGAAAGAUGAUUGGAGCAGGAUAUGAGUCACAAGGAUUGUACUAUUUUUCCACUUCUAAUUCUCCAAUUGCUUUUGUGUCUUCCACCUCCGCUGAACUCAGUCAUAGUCGUUGGGGACAUCCAAGUCUGAACAAGUUACAAAAACUGGUUCCUAGCCUAUCUUCCUUGCCUUCUUUAGAAUGUGAGUCUUAUCAACUCGGGAAGCAAACUCGAGCUUCUUUUCCCAAGCGAAUCAAUAAUAGGGCUAAGUCUAUGUUUGACAUUGUGCAUUCAGAUAUUUGGGGUCCAAGUCGGGUUAGUACAACUCUGGGAUUUCAAUAUUUUGUUACCUUUAUUGAUGACUAUUCUCGUUGCACUUGGCUUUUUCUAAUGAAGAAUCGUUCUGAUUUGUUCCCUAUUUUUCAAAGGUUUUAUGCUGAAAUCCAUAAUCAAUUUGGUACUCGCAUUAAGAUACUGCGAAGUAAUAAUGCAAGAGAAUAUUUGUCUUCAUCAUUCACUCAUUUUUUGUCUACUCAGGGUAUUGCUCAUCAAACUUCUUGCUCUUAUACCCCACAACAAAAUGGAGUUGCCGAACGGAAAAAUCGACAUUUAAUUGAAACAGCCCGCACUUUACUCCUACAUCACAAUGUUCCGUUGCGUUUUUGGGGAGAAGCUGUCCUCACCGCCUGUUACUUGAUUAACCGAAUGCCUUCCUUUGUUUUGCAGUAUCAAAGUCCUCAUUCUGUCCUAUUUCCUAGCCAGAAUACCAUCCAGUUGUCUCUGCGUGUUUUCGGAUGUAUAUGCUUUGUUCAUGAUCAUACUCCUGGCAAAGACAAACUCCAACCUAAAUCAGUUAAAUGUGUCUUUCUUGGCUACUCACGGCUUCAAAAAGGUUACAAAUGCUAUGAUCCUACUACUAACAUAUAUUUUGUCUGCAGAUGUCACAUUUUUUGAAAUCUCUCCUUACUUUUCUUCUAGUUCAACACACAAAAUUUUUGUCCCUAGCGCUUUGCCUGUACCUCCAGCUUCUAUUUCAUCUUUACCACAAGUGUGUCCAUCUCCCACUCCUAUGCCACCUCUUCAGACCUAUACACGUUGGUCUCACCCAUCUGCUAAUAACAAUGACAUUUCUCUCCCUAAUGCAGGUACUUCUAAUGACUCACCUCCCGCUCCAUCAUCACCUACUUCGGUCAUGCCUUCAACUACAGCAGCUACUCCUCCUCUUGCUCUUCGAAAAGGUAUUCGCUCUUCCCGAAAUCCUCAUCCCAUUUAUAAUUUUGUGAGUUACCAUCGUUUGUCUCCUUCCUAUUAUACCUUUGUCUCUGCUGUGUCUACUGUCUCCAUACCCAAGACAGUUAGAGAAGCAUUGGAUCAUCCUGGUUGGUGUAAUGCCACGGUUGAGGAAAUGACUGCUCUGCAUAACAAUGGAACUUGGGAACUGGUAUCCUUACCACCUGGUAAGUCUACUGUUGGUUGUCGAUAGGUUUACACAGUUAAGGUGGGACCUGAUGGCAAAAUUGAUCGCCUUAAAGCUCGCCUUGUAGCUAAAGGUUACACACAGAUUUUUGGGCUUGAUUACAGUGAUACUUUCUCUCCCGUAGCUAAAAUAGCUUCUGUUCGCCUCCUUAUCUCAUUGGCUGCAAUUAAUCACUGGACCCUGCAUCAACUGGACAUUAAAAAUGCCUUUGUUCAUGGAGAGCUCGCUGAAGAAGUUUAUAUGGAGCAACCUCCAGGGUUUGUUGCUCAGGGGGAGUCAGUUUUAGUAUGUCGUCUUCGGCGCUCUUUGUAUGGACUAAAACAGUCUCCAAGAGCAUGGUUUGACGAUUUAGCACUGUAGUUCAACAGUUUGGAAUGUCUCGAAGUAAUUCUGAUCACUCCGUAUUUUUUCGUUAUAAUGGUGAUAGAUGCAUCUACUUGGUGGUCUAUGUUGAUAAUAUUGUCAUUUCAGGAAAUGAUCAUGAUGGAAUCUCUCAGCUUAAGCAACAUUUGUUCAGUUAUUUCCAAACUAAAGAUCUGGAGAAACUGAAAUACUUCUUGGGAAUUGAAGUGGCACAGUCUAAAACAGGUAUUGCAAUUUCUCAACGGAAAUAUGCUUUGGAUAUAUUGGAAGAAACAGGCAUGUUAGACUGUAGACAUGCGGACACUCCCAUGGAUCCAAAUGUUAAGCUUGUUCCUGAACAGGGGGAGCCACUUAAAGAUCCUGCUAGAUACAGAAGAUUAGUAGGCAAACUCAAUUAUCUCACUAUCACACGACCAAAUAUUUCCUUUGCUGUAAGUGUGGUUAGUCAAUUUUUUCAAACUCCAUACAGUAGUCACUGGGAUGCAGUCAUUCGCAUUCUUAGAUAUAUCAAAGGAGCUCCAGGACAGGGUCUACUCUAUGAGGACAAUGGUCACUCACAAAUUGUUGGCUAUUCUGAUGCAGAUUGGGCAGAUUCCCCUUCAGAUAGAUGAUCUACUUCAGGAUAUUGUAUUAUGAUUGGAGGGAAUCUCAUAUCCUGGAAAAGUAAAAAAUAGAGUGUGGUUGCAAGAUCAAGUGCAGAAGCAGAAUAUCGAGCUAUGGCUUUAGCAACAUGCGAACUCAUCUGGUUGAAACAACUCCUUCAGGAAUUGAAAUAUAGUGAUACUGGCCAAAUGAAGUUGAUAUGUGAUAAUCAAGCUACCCUCCAUAUUGCAUCAAAUCCAGUUUUUCAUGAGAGGACGAAGCAUAUAGAGGUGGAUUGCUAUUUUAUUAGGCAAAAGAUUGAGUCCGGAUGCAUUUCUACUAGUUUUGUCAACUCAAAUGAUCAGCUAGCUGAUGUUUUCACAAAAUCACUUCGAGGACCACGAAUCGAGUAUAUCUGUAACAAGCUUGGAGCAUAUGAUAUGUACGCUCCAGCUUGAAGGGGAGUGUUGAGAUUAUUUCUGUAAAUAGGAAUAUGAUUGUGUGAUAAUUAGGGAUAUGAUUGUGGGAUAUGAUUGGGAUAUGAUUAGGAAAUUAAUUUAUUUUCUUACCUAGUGUGUACCCUUGUAAGUAGUAUAUAUACCCCAAUUAGCUUGAGGGGAAUAAUUAAGUAUUUUCUCUCAAACCUAUGCUCUCCUUUUCUUCUUUUCAUCAAAGUUUCACUGGUCACAUUUUUUCAGAUACUUGUAAGAGCUGUCCCAAUAAAACAAGGUCACAAAUUGAAUAUCAUUUGGCCAAUAACUCCAGGAAUUCUUCACUACAAGGAAGGGC